rnacentral:tRNA from 1 species
GCCGGGAUGGCUGAGCGGAUAAAGGCGCAGGCCUUGAGAGCCUGUGACCCGUUACCGGGUCUCGGGGGUUCGAACUCACUGGCGGAAGUCCCUCUCCCGGCG